AUCUCGGUAGUCUAAAGGUUUAGAACGCUUGCACGGAUGCAAGAGAUCCGGGUUCGACUCCCGGUCAAGGCA
rfam:Atta colombica isolate Treedump-2 unplaced genomic scaffold scaffold73, whole genome shotgun sequence.